rnacentral:tRNA from 1 species
GCCCCUCUGGCGAAAUUGGCAGACGCGCAAGGUUUAGGACCUUGUGAGAGAAAUCUCGUAGAGGUUCAAAUCCUCUGGGGGGCA